CCUGGGAUAGCUCAGUCAGUAGAGCACGAGACUCUUAAUCUCAGGGUUGCAGGUUCGGGCAAAAAGGUCCCUGCAUUGCAGAG